CUCGUAGGCGGUUUGGCAAGUCGGAUGUGAAACCUCCAGGCUUAACCUGGAGACGCCAUUCGAUACUGCUAUGACUUGAGUUCGGUAGGGGCGCAUGGAAUACCCGGUGUAGCGGUGAAAUGCUUAGAUAUCGGGUGGAACACCAGUGGCGAAGGCGGUGCGCUGGGCCGAAACUGACGCUGAUGAGCGAAAGCGUGGUAGCAAACA
rnacentral:rRNA from 1 species